rnacentral:rRNA from 2 species
GCGCGAAAACUACUACAAUGCACGCAAGUGUGAUAGGGCAACCCCUCGUGCUCAACUAACGUUGGGCUUUUAUUAUGUGUAAUGUACAUAAUGAAUAAGGGGUGGGGCAAGACCGGUGCCAGCAGCCGCGGUAAUACCGGCGCCACGAGUGGAGUUCACUAUUAUUGGGUCUAAAAGUGUCCGUAGCUGGUUUAUUAAGUCUCUUGUGAAAUUCCUGUUGCUUAACUCAGAAACUGCAAGAGAUACUGGUAAACUCGAGACCGGAAGAGGUAACAAGUAUUGUUUGGGUAGCGGUAAAAUAGCUAUAAUCCUUACAAGACUAACUAAGGCGAAGGCGAUGUUACUUGGACGGAUCUGACAGGUGAGGGGACGAGAGCUGGGGGAGCGAACCGGAUUAGAUACCCGGGUAGUCCCAGCCGUAAACG